GACGAACGCUGGCGGCGUGCUUAACACAUGCAAGUCGAACGGAAAGGCCCUGCUUUUGUGGGGUGCUCGAGUGGCGAACGGGUGAGUAACACGUGAGUAACCUGCCCUUGACUUUGGGAUAACUUCAGGAAACUGGGGCUAAUACCGGAUAGGAGCUCCUGCAGGGUGGGGGGUGGAAAGUUUCGGCGGUUGGGGAUGGACUCGCGGCUUAUCAGCUUGUUGGUGGGGUAGUGGCUUACCAAGGCUUUGACGGGUAGCCGGGCUGAGAGGGUGACCGGCCACAUUGGGACUGAGAUACGGCCCAGACUCCUACGGGCGGCAGCAGUGGGGAAUAUUGCACAAUGGGCGGAAGCCUGAUGCAGCAAAGCCGCGUGCGGGAUGACGGCAUUCGGGUUGUAAACCGCUUUCGCCUGUGACGAAGCGUGAGUGACGGUAAUGGGUAAAGAAGCACCGGCUAACUACGUG
rnacentral:rRNA from 1 species